UACGUAGGGUCCGAGCGUUGUCCGGAAUUAUUGGGCGUAAAGAGCUCGUAGGCGGUGUGUCGCGUCGGUCGUGAAAACUUGGGGCUUAACCCUGAGCUUGCGGUCGAUACGGGCAUCACUGGAGUUCGGCAGGGGAGACUGGAAUUCCUGGUGUAGCGGUGAAAUGCGCAGAUAUCAGGAGGAGCACCGGUGGCGAAGGCGGGUCUCUGGGCCGAUACUGACGCUGAGGAGCGAAAGCGUGGGGAGCAAACAGG
rnacentral:rRNA from 1 species